CAGCCGCCGCGGUAAUACGAAGGGUGCAAGCGUUACUCGGAAUUACUGGGCGUAAAGCGUGCGUAGGUGGUCGUUUAAGUCCGUUGUGAAAGCCCUGGGCUCAACCUGGGAACUGCAGUGGAUACUGGGCGACUAGAGUGUGGUAGAGGGUAGCGGAAUUCCUGGUGUAGCAGUGAAAUGCGUAGAGAUCAGGAGGAACAUCCAUGGCGAAGGCAGCUACCUGGACCAACACUGACACUGAGGCACGAAAGCGUGGGGAGCAAACAGGAUUAGAUACCCCUGUAGUCCCUGUCUCUUAUAC
rnacentral:rRNA from 1 species